rnacentral:lncRNA from 1 species
ACAAAAUCUGAAAAUAUUUUCUAUAUCCUUUAUGGGGAAUUGAUUAAAAUAUUAUAGAAUUUCUGUAAAGUAGAUUAUUAUGCCGGAUGCACAAAUGCUUUGCAUAUUAGCUUCUGCGAAGUGGGGCAACAUAAACUAAAGGAGAGUCCAGUCCUGCUAGACUUGUGCUUUUCCUUUUCUGAUGCAGUCUUCUAAGGAGAAUGGAGUUAUGGAGAGUGCGGUUGGAGAGCUCAUCGAUAGAAACAAAUGAGGAGGAAAAGAAAACAACUUCCACUGAAUUGGAUGGCCUGUCUCCAGACUCCAGCUAGAGGAGUAAUGAGCUGAACCUAAGUGUGUCUGUGUUUGAUAGACUCUGAGGAGGAGAGUUUUUUGAAUAGAGAAGAUUUCUGGUAUCCACCAUCUGCCUCUGGCCAUGGACCACUCUCUGGACAAUUUCAGUAUGAAGGGAGCAUCUUUGUCGACCAGUGUUAUGCAGAAGACAGUUUGGAGAAAGAUACUCUAAGACUGGGUGGGACAUUGACAAGGCUGUCUGCUGGUACACAUCUGUGUGGGUUCUUUGGAUCAAAUACUUUCUACUUGGACUACAUGUUGGAAUUACCUGGGGGAUUUUUAAAACUCAGGGAAGUCUGGGCGUCAUGCAAAGCCAACUUAAUCAAAAUCUCUAGAGGUAAGGCCAAGUAUUAGAAUUUAAAAAAUUCUCAGAUGAUUCUUGUGCUGAUGAGGUUGAAAAUCAUUGCUUAGAAAGCAAAAUGCUAGCUAUAUUCUAAGUUAUUGGCUACCAGUAAUAGUUAACAUUUAUUGUUGACUUUGUGCUAAGCAUUUUCCUCCUAUGUUCUUUAACUAAAUCCUCAUGGCUUUUUUUUUAUAAUGCAGAUCCCCUUAUUAUCCCCAUUUAUAGAUGAUAAAACUAAGGCAUUAGGGAAAAAGAGCAGUUUGGCCAAGAACAUGCAAGCUGUAAGUUAGGGGCUUCGUGUCUAGGCACUGUGAUUCCAGAACUUGGGCAUCUAACCAGUACUUCCCUAAACUCUUCUUUUGACAGACUCUAUAUGAUUAAAACUAAUACAUUAUCUUCACUCACUAUACAAAACUGCUAGCAGGAAAUACAACCAACUCUAGUGCUAAGUUCUACCCACAAAAUCAAACACUUUAGUAUUUUGACCACAGUAAUAAAUUUUUGUGUUUUUUAAUCUACUCCAUCAGAUAACUUAUGUUAAUAAUUGCACAUGUAGAACAUAACAAAAGUUGUUCCCCAUUCUCCCUCCCACAUUUGACAGUGAAAUAUGGAAUUGAUUUUGGCCAAAUCUUCAUGCAAGUAAAAAUACAUUAAGG